GUGCACCCUGCUUCUCUCUGGGUUGCCUUGCCUUGUCUUCCAUUUUCUACUUCGAAAGUGAGAGCAUUCGUUAGCUCAACCUCAUCGUGAAUGCUCUGCAAUGUCUUAAUUAGGUUCCUACAAUUCAAAUUUGGGCUCUGGUUCGUCCUCUAGAAAUGGAGAGCAAGGCCAUCGUCACCCACUUGUCAAAUAUCUUGCAGUCUUGCAUAGGCAAGAAAGACUACCUAUCAGGCAAAAUCCUCCAUGGUUGUAUAUUCCGGAAUGGCCUCUUUGCUAACACCUUCCUGUUAAACCGCCUCGUCGAACUGUAUUCGAAAUGUGGGCGGAUAGCUACCGCUCGCCAUGUCUUCGAUAAAAUGCCGCAAAGAAACAUUUUUUCUUGGCAUGCCAUGUUGGAUGGUUAUUGUAAAGCUAGCAAGUUAAAAGACGCACAUGAACUGUUUGCAGCAAUGCCUGAAAGGAACGCGGUCUCAUGGAACACCAUGAUUAGUGCUUUGGCUCAGAGUGGGUUCGAACAGAAUGCUCUGCAUGUUUAUCAUAAAAUGAAUCUUGAAGGUUUUAUGCCUAGCCAUUUUACGUUGGCUAGUGUUUUGAGUGCUUGCGGUGCAUUGAUGGAUGUGGAGUGUGGAAGGGAGUGCCAUGGUGUUGCUGUUAAAGUUGGUCUUGACAAAAAUAUGUAUGUGGGUAAUGCUUUGUUGUGCAUGUAUGCAAAGGGUGGCUGUAUAAGGGAUGCAAUUCGGGCUUUUGGGGACUUACCUGAACCUAACGAGGUUUCUUUUACAGCAAUGAUGGGAGGAUUAGCAGAGAGUGAUCGAAUUGAGGAUGCUGUUAGUAUGUUUAAGUCAAUGCUUAGAGCAGGGAUUUCUGUUGAUUCAAUUUCUUUGUCAAGUGUUCUGAGUGUUUGUGCGAGAGGAGGAAAUGGGGAAUUUGGUUUCCCUAGUCAGACUGAUGGGUUUUCAGGUUAUAUGCAUGGACAGCAAAUACACAGUCUUGCUGUUAAACUGGGCCUUAAGGGAGAUCUUCACUUAAGUAAUUCAUUACUGGAUAUGUAUGCAAAGAUUGGGGACAUGGACAGUGCUGAGAUGAUUUUUUCUAAUUUGCGUGAAGUUAGUGUUGUUUCUUGGAACAUCGUGAUUGGUGGGUAUGGCCAAAUAAACCAAAUUGAGAAGGCCACUGGCUAUAUGCAAAGGAUGCAGCAGCAGGGGUUUGAACCUGAUGAGGUCACCUAUGUCAAUAUGCUUGCAGCAUGUGUCAAAUUCAGAGAUAUUGAAACUGCUCGUCAAAUAUUUGAUAGAAUGGUAUGUGCAACCUUGAGUUCAUGGAAUGCUAUACUCUCUGGUUAUUCCCAGAAUGGAAACCAUAAGGAGGCAGUCAGGCUUUUCAGAGAAAUGCAAUUUCAAGGUGUCCAACCUGAUAGGACAACUUUGUCCAUAAUUCUCAGCUCAUGUGCAGGGAUGGGACUUAUGGAGGGCGGGAAGCAGGUCCAUGCUGUCUCAUUAAGGGCUAGGUUUGACAACGAUAUAUAUGUCGCCAGUGGACUUAUUGGCAUGUAUUCAAAGUGCAAUAAGACAGAGGCAGCAAAAUAUGUUUUUGAUAGAAUGCCUGAAGUGGAUAUUGUCUGUUGGAAUUCUAUGAUGACAGGUUUAUCGGUAAAUUCUCUUGACAAGGAGGCAUUCAUUUUGUUUAAGGAAAUGCUAGCAAAUGGCUUGUUUCCUACCCAAUUCUCUUAUUCUACCGCCUUGUGUUGUUGUGCAAAACUGUCAUCUUUGUCGCAAGGAAGGCAGGUUCAUGCUCGGAUUGCUAAGGAUGGAAGUAUGAAUGAUGUCUUUGUGGGCACUGCUCUAGUCGAUAUGCAUUCCAAAUGUGGUGAUGUGGAUGGUGCUAGGAAGUUUUUUGAUACGAUGCCCUAUAAAAACAAUGUUACUUGGAAUGAGAUGAUCCAUGGGUAUGCACAGAAUGGGUGUGGAGAUGAGGCUGUUAUCCUCUAUGAAAACAUGAUUGAAUCAGGUGAGGAACCUGAUGGCAUAACAUUUGUUGCUGUUUUAACUGCUUGUAGCCAUUCUGGACUGGUUGAUGCCGGGAUUAAAAUAUUCAAUUCAAUGCAGUCUGAGCAUGGAGUGGAGCCACUUUUGGAUCAUUAUACUUGCAUCAUUGAUGCUCUAGGCCGUGCUGGUAGGUUCCAUGAAGCUGAAGUUCUUUUAGACAAGAUGCCCUAUAAAAAUGAUCGAAUUAUAUGGGAGGUUUUGCUUAGUUCUUGUAGAGUUCAUGCCAAUGUAAGCUUAGCAAAAAAAGCAGCAGAGGAACUUUUCCAGUUGGACCCAGAGAACUCUACCCCUUAUGUACUUCUAGCUAAUAUAUAUUCUUCAUUGGGAAGAUGGGAAGAAGCAAAGGCUAUUAGGGAAAUGAUGAAUGAUCAGCAGGUGAUAAAAAGUCCUGGUUAUAGCUGGGUUGAAGAUAAGAACAGAAUGCAAGCCUUCAAGGUUGAUGAUAAUAUUAGGCAGACAGUUCAGGACUUCGGAGUGGCAAAUGUUGGAUGAUCUUGCUUUGAAACAACAUCAGACCAAGCCUUAAACCCUCUAGUUGAGAAAUUCUGUUAGGUACAUUCUAAUGCACUUGAGGUGCACCAUGCUGGAAUAGCUUUGUCCUUGAAGUGACGGAGAGACCUGUUUAGGUGAAAGCUAAGCAGUACCACGAAACUUUAGGUGAAGACAAAAUGUAACAAGGCUAAGUAGGAAAAGAGAUUGAUACAGCUCAAAGGUUUAUUUUCAUGAAUCAUGUCAUCUGCAUGCCAUGAGAAGGUCUCAAAUCCUGGUGCUACUCUUACUGUCACAGUGUCACUUCUGUCAAGGGCACUGGUACUUGUAUAUUUGUCUCAACAAAUUGCUAUGAUUAAUUGGUUUCCAAAUCAGCCCCUUCCACUUCUCCACUAAUAACAAAAAGUCAAGGAGCUCUUCUGCAAUUGCACUUUCAAAUGUAAACAUUUUAAUUGCUUCUGUAUGAAAGGGUGGGUGGAGGAGAUUGUUGCAGCCCUGUCGAAAGCAGCCCAUUGUGCUAGGAUUUUGGGAACUGGGACUCAGAUCUGGCUUUGACUAUAAAAUGAAUUCUGCAAAAGGGUGAAGCAUUUUCCUUGCAUAUGCUUCAAUAAAUUGAAAAAUGGUUCUAGCAUAGAUGCAAGAUUGGGGGGAUGUAGGUGGGUAAACUUAAAGCUACAGCCUCCUGUUUCCGGAAGGUCAAUAUGGCUUGUCUUUUCUGUAUCUAGUGCUGCUAGGCACUGUUGUUGGGCUUUUAUUGGGUUAGCCAAGGAACCACCAUAUGGAAACUGCCCUGGGAAGCUGGAGGUACUGAUCCAUCCUGUUGCAGAGGAUAAACCUUGUUUAUGUGGUGUGCUCUUCAGGAAAUUCGAUAUUGGCUUUGUUGUUGGUUCAUAUUUUACGGGAUGUGAAAGGCUCGAUAUCUAUCUUCAAGGGCGAGGAGACAUUGUCAUGGGCCUCUUUGGCAUCUUCAAUAUCCACUUUGGUUUACUGUUAACCUUCUGACAUUGACAUGGUCUGUGAAGGGUAGGUAAGACUGAUGUAAAUUGAUGAUUUUACAUGCAUAUUCAUCAAUCUUGCCUUUAAAUUUACUCUCUCCCAGUGAGUUGUGGAGAUUUUGACAUUUUUUAUUGUCCAAGUGUGGAGAAACAGUAUUUGUCCUUAUAAUAUUUACUUAAAAGGAAGAUUAAAGAAAAUUUGGUGGGAAACUCUUAAAAAAAACCUAAGAUUGAAGCUAGCAGAUCAUAUCUAGUAGAAUUAAGGCUUGAUAAUUUGUUAUUGUUGAUAACCAAUUUUGAAGGUCUUCCAGGUCUGCGUUCUAUCAAUAUUA